GCAAAACAGCAGCUCUGAGAGAUGUUUACUAAUUGUUCUGCAUUUGUUACAUGAUGUAGUAGGAAAAGCACUGCAUUUGGAGCCAUAAACACAAGAUUCUUGUUUCUGUCUGCCUGCUAGCUAGCUUUAGUGUAUGAAGAAAAUUUCUUUACCCACCUGGACCUCAAUUCGCUUACUUGUAGAAUGUGGGUGUAGGAUUUGAGGAUAUCUGAAAUUACUUCCACCAUCUGCCAUGUGGAUCAGGACAUCACUGCUGUCUCAAAACCUUACAAUAUUCAUCUAGAAGAAGGCUGUGUCAUCUAGUUUCUUCAGUGACAUGUGCGACCUUGACUUUUAAUUAUUCAAGAGUGGCAAGUAUGGAACCUAAAGUGGAUUGUUGACACAAGAUGCCUGGAAAUAAGCUUCACUGGCUCUCCCCUGACCACUGCAGGCUAGCGGUGGUGCCCAGGACGCUGUGUCCAUCCUGCAGUCUUGAGGGGAGCACACUGAGGACAAUGCUGCCACAAUGAGGAUGGCAGAGAGGAAAAAUGGAAAGAGCCUCAAUCACGGAGACUCAGUCAACCCUGGAGCUGCUCUACCUUGGGACUUCUUAACGAGAAUUAUGAAAGACAUACUGUUGUUUUAAAUUUCAAACCACAGUUACCUGUGUAACUAAAGAACCUGUAAGUCCCUCAAUAGGAAAAAGUGGAAACUGACCCAGAGGAUGCCAGACAGAAGGAUAUAUCCAAUUGCAGUUCUUACCAGCAUACAGGAGGAGGUUCCAUAUGAAUAUAACUUCUUGCCUAAGUUGGUUUAGGUAAGAAGACUCUUCAUGUGCCUGUUUCCUUCAAAUUUUAAGGAGAGCUCUUGCAUGGUGGUAGAACCGAGGACAGCCUAGACCUUCUGAUUGUCAACUCCUUGUUCCAUUGUGUCCAAACCUACAUGUCUGAACUCCUCUCAUCAAAGACUUCUCAAAGUUAUUAAUAACUGGGGAUCACGUAUUCAGUAAUUACACACAUCAGGCUCCAUGCUUUCUGUGCAGUAUGUAAAUUGAUUCAUUGUCAUACUAAUUAUAAAUGGCUAGUAUUAUUGCUGCUUUACAAAUGAGGCAUAUGACACACAGGGAGCUAAAUAAUUUGCCUAAGGUCACCCCACUUGUAAAUGAUGAAGCCAGGACUCAAGGCCAGGUCUGGCCACCCCUGAAUUUAAUAGCUUUAUCCUCUAUAUCUCUGUUUUCUCCCAGACCAAGGUGUCUGUACCUCUCUGCCAACAGAGAAAAGGGUUCAUUCAUUCAUCAAAUGUUUGUUGAGCAUCUAUUGUGACUCAGGCAAUAUCCUAGAUCAAGGAUUGUCAAACUUUUUCUAUAAAGGACAAGAGAGCAAACAUUUUAGGUCUCCUGGGUCAUACGGUCAGUCACUGUGAUUCAACUCUGCUGUUGUAGUACAAGAUUGUGAAAGCAGCCAUAGAUGAUAUGUCAAUGAAUGAGCAUGGUUGUGUUCCAAUAAAAUGUCACUUGCGAAAGCAGGCUGUGGGCUGGGUUUGGGCCAAGAGUUCUAUCCCUGCUCUAGGCACUGGAGUUACAAUAGCAAAAAAUUAAAAUAAAGUAAAAUAAAAACACAAAAAUGCCUGCCUUUGUGGUGCUUCCAUUCCAGAAUGGGGAAGUAAUUGUAUUUCUGUCCCGUUUAUCAUGUAAAAAUUGUCAUAGGAUCUUGGAGUUGCUGAGCACCUAGAGGUGAUCUGUUCAGCAUUUUCCUCCCAGGGCAGCUCUCCACUCAGAACUCUCUUGGCUGGUGAGGGUUCAUUCUGUGUGCCCGGAUCUAGUGUCACCUCACCUUCCAGGGGACCCAUCCUUGUCACAUAGUCCUUGCUUAUCUGUCUUCCUGACAAUUUAACUCACAUCCUACCCUGUUUGGGCAGAGGGCCCCACAUUUUAGCAUAUCAUAAUCACUUUUGGGGCUUGAAACACUUUGAUGGGCUCCACUCUCGAGAUUCUGAUUCAAUAGGUCUGGAGUGAGGCCCAAGAUUUUCCCUUUCUGACAAAUUCCCAGGUAAUUCC
rnacentral:lncRNA from 1 species